UCGAACGAGAAAGCCCGCAAGGGUGAGUAAAGUGGCGCACGGGUGAGUAACACGUGGGUAAUCUGCCUCUGGGUGGGGAAUAACUCUGGGAAACCGGAGCUAAUACCGCAUAAUCCUGAGAAGGAAAAGGAGAAAUCCGCCGAGAGAGGAGCCCGCGGCCGAUUAGCUGGUUGGUGAGGUAAAAGCUCACCAAGGCAAUGAUCGGUAGCCGGCCUGAGAGGGCACACGGCCACACUGGCACUGAAACACGGGCCAGACUCCUACGGGAGGCAGCAGUGGGGAAUCUUGCACAAUGGGGGAAACCCUGAUGCAGCGACGCCGCGUGAGCGAUGAAGCCCUUCGGGGUGUAAAGCUCUUUCGGCAGGAACGAUAAUGACGGUACCUGAAGAAGAAGCUGCGGCUAACUACGUGCCAGCAGCCGCGGUAAUACGUAGGCAGCGAGCGUUG
rnacentral:rRNA from 1 species